AAAAAUCCAAUCCUUCUUCAGUAGAGAAUUCUUUGAAACCCGUUAUCUGUAUUACUAUUAAUGCGCAGAGCAGACGGCAUAGCAUGCAAAUAGGUCCAAGUGUGCGCUUCUAUUGGUGGCUGCGGAGGCCCCUGGGUCCUACUGCAUCCGGCUCGAAAGUACACAGCAACACUACGCACGCAGCUUUGGAGGCGCGGAGGGAAAAAUGGAUUUAAUUGAUUCGUUACCUCUGUAUCUUUUUUAGCAAGCCCAAUACUAAUGCAAACAGACACAAGAUUUAAAGUGAGGCAGGCCUCUGAUGACCGGUGAUUUGAAAUACUGCAACAUUGAGGAAAAACAUUUCAGCACCUCCCCAUUAAAGAUGAUGGGUUGUAUUUCCAACACAAGCUACUUGGUCCACCUGUGUUCCAGUGAUGGUGACAAGGAAUAAAGCAACAUACGACUCAUAAAAGUUGGUGGGAUCAUCCUUUCUGAGUAUGGAGCAACAUGGUAUAACUAAAGAAACUGACUGUUCUGAAAAGCUAUCCAACAAACUUGAAAAAUUCCUCAUUUGUCCAGCAAAGUAAAUUAAUUCACCGGAUGAUAGACAUUAAUUAAUGGAUCACGAUUGACCACGAAUGAGUGAAACUGUGGAAAGCAAAACCUUGCAUAAGGAGGGAACCAUUGGAACUGUCUACAGACUUUCAAAGAGCAGAUUCAUGAAAAUGGCACACUGUUUAUUAGCUCUUGGAAGAUGAUGUUUGUUUUAAUAAUUUUGGAAUGAGAAUGUAUUGGAGAUGUUGAUAAAUGCAUAGCAGGGUUCAGAUGAAAAAAAUGAGUCAUGGUGUUUGAGAGAAGCUCUCUUUUAGUUGUAAAGUCCUCUAGUCUCAGAAUCCUGGUUUUUUUUCUACACAACUCAUAAUUUUCUAUCUGCGUGUAUAUACUUCUAUAUCAUCCAAAGUUUCAUUAUAGCUGUCCACUUUCAACUUUGUCCCAACUCUCAAUUCUUUUAUUCUCUUUGGCUAUCUUAUUUGAGCUGACAUUCUUCUAUUCAUUGCCUUCUCACCAUCCAGCUUCCUUCAUCCUGGUUUGGAGGGCUCUCUCCAUAAUCUACAUAUUACUGUAAUAGAUUAAUGCUUUACCCAUGAAGGAUAUGGGCAUAUUUACCUUGAAGAUUAAUAAUAAAAAUGUAAGAAUUGAAACCUACAUAGCUUAUACUCAGA